UACGUAGGCAGCAAGCGUUGUUCGGAGUUACUGGGCGUAAAGGGUGUGUAGGCGGUUCUUUAAGUUUGGUGUGAAAUCUCCCGGCUCAACCGGGAGGGUGCGCCGAAGUACUGAGGGACUAGAGUGUGGGAGAGGAAAGUGGAAUUCCUGGUGGUAGCGGUGAAAUGCGUAGAGAUCAUGAGGAAGACCAGUGGCGAAGGCGGGUCUCUGGACGAGUUCCUGACACUGAGACACGAAGGCCAGGGGAGCAAACGGG
rnacentral:rRNA from 1 species